GACGGAGGGUGCAAGCGUUGCUCGGAAUCACUGGGCGUAAAGGGUGCGUAGGCGGCCGUGCACGUCUGGCGUGAAAGCCCCGGGCUCAGCCCGGGAAGUGCGCUCGAAACUGCGAGGCUAGAGUGCCGGAGGGGAGAGUGGAAUUCCUGGUGUAGCGGUGAAAUGCGUAGAUAUCAGGAGGAAUACCGGUGGCGAAAGCGAGUCUCUGGACGGCAACUGACGCUGAGGCACGAAAGCGUGGGGAGCAAACAGG
rnacentral:rRNA from 1 species